GACUCUGCCUUUGCUUGCAGUUCUCUGGCUUGAUUGAGGAGGUUCUCACUUUCAUCUUUAUGGGACUUUGGCUAAAAAAAUAAACUGUCAAAGGAACUGGCAUUUGCUGACUGGACUACAGCACAUCUCGAAGAAUCUGCAGACUGAAACCUUCAAGGCAUUCAUGAAAUGGUCUUCCCUUAGUUCCCCUGCCUUUUCCACUCUUUCUGCCAUUUGGAUUUCACACUGGAAGUUCAAGAGAUGACAUCAGAAAACAGAAAAGCCAGUGGGAAAGGCAAGGAGAUUUGGAAGAGUGUUUGAAAAUUUUGGCAAUCAAGAAUAAGAAGGUCAGUAAAUUUCAGUGCAGGACCACAUAAGUCUAAAAUACUACCUACGAUUUUGCUUAAAGAUCGUGCAACUGUGUAGACGGAUGUUCCUGCAAACCCAAAGCAGGAAGCCAAGUCACCAGGCAGAACUGAUAGCAUGGGAAGUGGGUUCCCACCAGUCGCAUGCAGCUGCUCUGGUAUGGCCAUGGUGCUGGGGAUGAGUCAGAAAUCUCAGUCUUUUCUGGCUUAAAGAAAAGGAAGAAUGGAACCCAUCUUCUCCAGAUAUGUUGUUAUGGGGUAGGUGUAGGUCUAGAGACAGAAAAGAAUCACAUUUGAACAUCCUCUUAAUGCAAGAACAUUUUUAAAGAAACAAUUUUCCCUGAAUAUCCAUCAAGCCUAAUACAGUGUGACUAUCUGAGAUCAAUUAUUCUUAUCUUUACAAAGACUGGGAGUUAUACAGCAAAAGCAAUACUGUAAAAUAUGUGU
rnacentral:lncRNA from 10 species